AUCUCGGGGGGAGCCCCUUCGGCUGAGAGGUUGGCGCCGCCAACGACCCCGAAACCUGAUCCGGAUAAUGCCGGCGUAGGAACUGGGAAU
rnacentral:ncRNA from 1 species